GGGAAACCAAUAUUCACAUAGACAGGCAUACCUCCAUGGAAAAACCACAUUAUUCAUCCUCGUAGCCUCUCUGACUUACCAUUUUCGGCCAUAUCCGGAUGCUUCCUCUGCAAAAUCCGUAUUCCCCUCGGUGAAAACAUAUGCGUUGAACCUAACCCCAAAAACAGAACCAGAUAUCAGAUUAAUAAAUAAUAAUAUUUGGUGUUUAUUGUGAUUACAGGCGUAGACGAAACCGGAAGACUAAAUCCGAAGGAUGGUGACUUAACCACAACUGUUUCCCUUUGAAUUUGG
rnacentral:lncRNA from 1 species